AUUGAACGCUGGCGGAAUGCUUUACACAUGCAAGUCGAACGGCAGCACGGACUUCGGUCUGGUGGCGAGUGGCGAACGGGUGAGUAAUGUAUCGGAACGUGCCCAGUCGUGGGGGAUAACGUAGUGAAAAUUACGCUAAUCGCGCAUACGAUCUAUGGAUGAAAGCGGGGGAUCGCAAGACCUCGCGCGAUUGGAGCGGCCGAUAUCAGAUUAGGUAGUUGGUGGGGUAAAGGCCCACCAAGCCAACGAUCUGUAGCUGGUCUGAUAGGACGACCAGCCACACUGGAACUGAGACACGGUCCAGACUCCUACGGGAGGCAGCAGUGGGGAAUUUUGGACAAUGGGCGAAAGCCUGAUCCAGCCAUUCCGCGUGCAGGAUGAAGGCCCUCGGGUUGUAAACUGCUUUUGUACAGAACGAAAAGGUUUCUACUAAUACUAGGAGCUCAUGACGGUACUGUAAGAAUAAGCACCGGCUAACUACGUGCCAGCCGCCGCGGUAA
rnacentral:rRNA from 1 species